UAUAGUCGUUUGCUACAAUAAACAAUUCUACAGUGACAAUUUUGCAUAAAUGCAUAUUUGCUUUGUGCAGAAGUCCAAGAUGUUCUUAAGGUUGAUUUCUUGUAGCAGAAUUGCUGAAUCAAGGGAAGAAUGCAUUUAAAUAUUUGUACAAGCUGUGAGAGAGGCUGUAUUGAUAUCUCUUUCCCAACAGUGCAGUUGUUAGAGGCUAUGAAGUCAUUCUCCCUGUGCAACUGGGGCCUCACCAGGAUGUGCAUGAGCAGCCAAGGAAUGGUUUCAGCCUAAUUUAUUUUUAGAGUACAUACACUGGACCCUUCUGCAAUUGAAAACAGACCUUUGAUUCCUGAGUUGCAGAUUCUGACCCAGAAGGAGAAUGAUAUGCACUCCUUGUGCAUUGUGGUUCCUGAGGUAAACAUUUUCUUUUACACUAUGGGGUGUCUUUCAUAAUUCUGUAUUAUUAAUAAUAAUUAUUGGUUUGUUGCAGUACUGUGGAUUGAACCCAGAGCUUUGUGCAUGCUAUGCAAGCCAUCUACCCCAGAUCUGCAAUCCCAGCCUUUUAAAUUUUAUUUUGAGACUUACUAAGUUGACCAGACUGGCCUUGAUCUUGCAAUCUUCCUGCCUCAGCUUCCCAAGCAGCUGGGAUUACAGGUGUGCGCCACUGAGACUUGCUAUUAAUAACACUUUCAAGGCAUAUUUUCUAGCCUCAUCAGGAGUUUGUGUGUGAUUAUAGUGUGGCUACAGCUGGUAGUUCAGCUAAAACUAUUUGACCUGUACGGUACUGGGAAAACCUUUCUUCUCUUCAUUAAAGAAUAAGGAGAAACUUAAACCAUUUUAUAAAAACCUCAAAAUCAUUCUCUUUGGCUUUAACAAAGGAAAUGACAUAGGGAAAGAGACUUGUUUAAACUUUUAAC
rnacentral:lncRNA from 1 species